AGCACUCAGCCAGCUAACAGCCUGCAGUGUAAUUAUUGUGACCCUGCCACCUCUCAGUGCACGUCUUCAGUACAAUGUUCAGGGAGUGAGAGCAGCUGCAUCUCAGCAACUGUGACGAGUGGAUCCAGAACAUCUCCAGUGCUCGGCUGUGUGAGUCCAAAUACAUGUUUAGUUGCUGGAAGCCUGGGUAGUUUACCGUUCAUGCAGAAUGUUAGUUCCAUCACCGGUCAACCAACAUGCUGUACAACCAGUUUGUGCAACAGUCCUCGACCACCAACCACAACCAUCACACCAGCCACCACUACUACUACAACCACACUAACCACAAUGAAGACUACGACUAAAAUACCAUCCACCAAACCCUGCAACCCUAAACACAGCCAUGAUGAUGACCACGCCAAUGAAAACAACCACCAUUAUGAUGACCACAACCACAAGAACAAGAACCAAGGCCACCACAAUAAACGCAACAAACGCCGCACCGACAACAAACCCCCGCGCAACAACCAAGACCAUCACAACAAUCACAACAACCACCACCCCAACAACAACAACAACAACCAGUGAAACAUCAAGUGUCAGUCUGAGCAUUCUCCGUCUUCUGCUUGGACUGUUUAGUUUGACCUCCACCAUGGAGGUUCUUUUUUUUGGUGUUGGUUUAUUUGGUUGUGUGUCUGUGUGUCUGUGCACAAAAUUGCUCAAAAUGUUUUGGUUGGGUUUUUCACAAAGCACAACUGGUUAAGAUUAAGCGUAGAUGGUGAUUUGACAAAAUGUACAAGAGCUGCAGCUCGCUGUGAUUUGGCACAAACAGCUGUUUUUUAGUGUUUAUAACAGCCAGUCAGCAUUCAGCAGAAACUUGUUCCACCAAUCACAGUUCAGCAGUUGCACUCUCAUUUAGUCUUGGUGAAGGUAUGGAUUCGAUUGGUUCUAGUUAAUUAUAAUUUAGUAAAAUUAUAUUUAAAAACAUUUAAAAACAUUUGAUGGUUUUUUAUUUUAAUCUGUUUAUAUGUUGUGCUUCUUUUCAAAUUCUGCAUUUAUUUUUCAUWAAAUCGUUUUAAAUGAUUUGUAAUGUUUUCAAGCAAAUACCUUACAAACUGGUUUGUGUUUGUGUUUUGUGAUUCGCUUUGAGGUUGUUUCACCAACUUUGUUUUUAUGGGGGGUUAAUUAAAAAUAAGACAAAAAUAUGAUGAAUAAAGCUCAGAUUUUUGCCUAAACUUAAUAAAGAUGAUUCAUUA